AGCUCAUCUCAGAGGGAUGAUCUCCAUCUCAGCGAGGGGUCAUCUGCUCCAUAAUUUAAAGAGGGCAUCUGCAGGGAGGACAGAGCUGCCUGGACAAGGGGAGCACUUGCCCCGAAGCCAAGCCAAAGGGAGAUGGAUUUCUAUUUCAAGACUUAAAGAAGGCUGUCAGUCACCAGAGGAAAGGGCUUCCUCAACACAUAGGCUGGCCAAGGUAUAGCUCCA
rnacentral:lncRNA from 1 species